UACGUAGGGGGCGAGCGUUGUCCGAAGUUACUGGGCGUAAAGCGCGCGUAGGCGGGGGGUUAAGUGAGAGGUGAAAGGCUGGGGCUCAACCUCAUGCAGUGCCUCUCAUACUGGCCUUCUUGAGGGCGGUAGGGAGAAGUGGAAUGGCUGGUGUAGCGGUGAAAUGCGUAGAGAUCAGUCGGAACACCGGUGGCGAAGGCGGCUUCUUGGGCCGUUCCUGACGCUGAUGCGCGAAAGCUGGGGGAGCGAACGGG
rnacentral:rRNA from 1 species